AGGCUGAAACUCGCCUACAUGAAGCUGGAAUUGCUAGUAAUCACAGGUCAGCAUACUGUGGUGAAUACGUUCCCGGGCCUUGUACACACCGCCCGUCACACCAUGAGAGUUGGGAAUACCCGAAGCCUGUGAGCUAACGUUAAGAGGCAGCAGUCGAAGGUAGAAUCAAUGAUUGGGGUGAAGUCGUAACAAGGUACC
rnacentral:rRNA from 1 species